GUGGGGAAUAUUGGACAAUGGGCGAAAGCCUGAUCCAGCCAUGCCGCGUGUGUGAAGAAGGUCUUCGGAUUGUAAAGCACUUUAAGUUGGGAGGAAGGGCAGUAAGUUAAUACCUUGCUGUUUUGACGUUACCGACAGAAUAAGCACCGGCUAACUUCGUGCCAGCAGCCGCGGUAAUACGAAGGGUGCAAGCGUUAAUCGGAAUUACUGGGCGUAAAGCGCGCGUAGGUGGUUUUGUAAGUUGGAGGUGAAAUCCCCGGGCUCAACCUGGGAACUGCCUCCAAAACUGCAUGACUAGAGUACGGUAGAGGGUAGUGGAAUUUCCUGUGUAGCGGUGAAAGGCGUAGAUAUAGGUAGGAACACCAGUGGCGAAGGCGACUACCUGGACUGAUACUGACACUGAGGUGCGAAAGCGUGGGGAGCAAACAGGAUUAGAUACCCGUGUAGUCC
rnacentral:rRNA from 1 species